GGUCACUUAGAAAUGUCCUGGUCCAUUAAAAUAACAUCACCUACCGUUCAACAGGUUGGGGUCACUUAGAAAUGUCCUGGUCCAUUAAAAUAACAUCAAAUUGAUCAGAAAUACAGUGUAGACAUUGUUAAUGUUGUAAAUGACUAUUGCAGCUGGAAACGGCUGAUUUUUUAUGGAAUAUCUACAUAGGUGUACAGAGGCCCAUUAUCAGCAACCAUCACUCCUGUGUUCCAAUGGCCUGUUGUGUUAGCUAAUCCAAGUUUAUCAUUUUAAAAGGCUAAUUGAUCAUUAGAAAACCCCUUUUGCAAUUAUGUUAGCACAGCUGAAAACUGUUGUCCUGAUUAAAGAAGCAAUAAAACUGGCCUUCUUUAAACUAGUUGAGUAUCUGGAGCAUCAGCAUUUAUGGGUUCGAUUACAGGCUCAAAAUGGCCAAAAACAAAGACCUUUCUUCUGAAACUCGUCACUCUAUACUUGUUCUGAGAAAUGAAGGUUAUUCCAUGUGAGAAAUUUCCAAGAAACUGAAGAUUUCGUACAACGCUGUGUACUACUCCCUUCACAGAACAGCGCAAACUGGCUCUAACCAGAAUAGAAAGAGGAGUGGGAGGCCCCGGUGCACAACUGAGCAAGAGGACAAGUACAUUAGAGUGUCUAGUUUGAGAAACAGAGAGGGAUGGACGGGGGGAUGGAGGGAGAAAGAUGGACAGGGGGGAUGGUGGGAGAAAGAGGGAUGGACGGGGGACGGAAAGAGAGGGUUGACGGGUAAUGGAGGGAGAAAGAGAGAGAGGGAUGGACGGGGGGAAGGAGGGAGAAAGAGGGAUGGAGCAGGGGGGAUGGAGGCAGGAGGGGUGAAGGGUCAAGGGGCCAUAGUGGCUGCGUCUGUCUUGAGUGCUGGUCAUAAGUAGUGCACUGCAAAGGGAAUAGGGUACUAUCACAUACUGGGUUUAAUGGGAGUCGUCCUCUCAGCUUUAGCAGCUCUUAAAGAGAUAGGUGUUAGAGUGGCAGCCAUACCUGCGUAGACAGGACUCCCAAACACACACACAUGUACUGGCUUUUAGCUCGUUACACUGGCUCUGUGUGGAUAAUAUCACCCCGUGAUUCUCACCUUACACCUCUCUCUUUCUCUCAACAGACAAUAGAGCUGUUCGAAGGCCUCUCAGCCUCCAGUAUUUAUGCUGCAGUAGUUUAUGUGUCGGGGGGCUAGGGUCAGUCUGUUACAUCUGGAGUAUUUCUCUUGUCUUAUCCGGUGUCCUGUGUGUAUUUAAAUAUGCUCUCUCUAAUUCUCUCUUUCUCUCUUUCUGUCUUUCUCUCGGAGGACCUGAGCCCUAGGACCAUGCCUCAGGACUACCUGGUAUGAUGACUCCUUGCUGACCCCAGUCCACCUGGCCGUGCUGCUGCUCCAGUUUCAACUGUUCUGCCUGCGGCUAUGGAACCCUGACCUGUUCACCGGACGUGCUUGUUGCACCCUCGACAACUACUAUGAUUAUUAUUAUUUGACCAUGCUGGUCAUUUAUGAACAUUUUAACAUUUUAACAUUUUGACCAUGUUCUGUUUUAAUAUCCACCCUGCACAGCCAGAAGAGGACUGGCCACCCCUCAUAGCCUGGUUCCUCUCUAGGUUUCUUCCUAGGUUUUUGGCCUUUCUAGGGAGUUUUUCCUAGGGAGUUUUUCCUAGCCACCGUGCUUCUUUCACAUGCUUUGCUUGCUGUUUGGGGUUUUAGGCUGGGUUUCUGUACAGCACUUUGAGAAUAUCAGCUGAUGUACGAAGGGCUAUAUAAAAAUAAAUUUGAUUUGAUUUGAUUUGAUUCUACUAAGAGUGUUUCUUUCAUUAUCCCUCUCCUUUAACAUCAGGUUUACUGUUAUAAUCCCUCUCUCCCUCCCUCUCCUUUAACAUCAGGUUUACUGUUAUAAUCCCUCUCUCCCACCCUCUCCUUUAACAUCAGGUUUACUGUUAUAAUCCCUCUCUCCAUCUCCCUC
rnacentral:lncRNA from 1 species